CAGCCGCCGCGGUAAUUCGUAGGGUGCGAGCGUUAAUCGGAAUUACUGGGCGUAAAGCGUGCGCAGGCGGAUUGUUAAGCAAGACGUGAAAUCCCCGGGCUUAACCUGGGAAUGGCGUUUUGAACUGGCAGUCUAGAGUGUGUCAGAGGGGGGUAGAAUUCCACGUGUAGCAGUGAAAUGCGUAGAGAUGUGGAGGAAUACCGAUGGCGAAGGCAGCCCCCUGGGAUAACACUGACGCUCAUGUACGAAAGCGUGGGUAGCAAACAGGAUUAGAUACCCUGGUAGUCCACGCCCUAAACGAUGUCAACUGGUUGUUGGGGGAGUGAAAUCCCUUAGUAACGAAGCUAACGCGUGAAGUUGACCGCCUGGGGAGUACGGUCGCAAGAUUAAAACUCAAAGGAAUUGACGGGGACCCGCACAAGCGGUGGAUGAUGUGGAUUAAUUCGAUGCAACGCGAAAAACCUUACCUACCCUUGACAUGUCCAGAAUCCUGCAGAGAUGCGGGAGUGCCCGAAAGGGAAUUGGAACACAGGUGCUGCAUGGCUGUCGUCAGCUCGUGUCGUGAGAUGUUGGGUUAAGUCCCGCAACGAGCGCAACCCUUAUCAUUAGUUGCUACGCAAGGGCACUCUAAUGAGACUGCCGGUGACAAACCGGAGGAAGGUGGGGAUGACGUCAAGUCCUCAUGGCCCUUAUGGGUAGGGCUUCACACGUCAUACAAUGGUCGGUACAGAGGGUUGCCAAGCCGCGAGGUGGAGCCAAUCCCAGAAAGCCGAUCGUAGUCCGGAUUGUUCUCUGCAACUCGAGAGCAUGAAGUCGGAAUCGCUAGUAAUCGCGGAUCAGCAUGUCGCGGUGAAUACGUUCCCGGGUCUUGUACACACCGCCCGU
rnacentral:rRNA from 1 species